rfam:Pontibacillus litoralis JSM 072002 contig2, whole genome shotgun sequence.
AAGACCUUUAAAAUUAGUCCAGUGAGGCUGAAAAGGUCGCGAUGGAGAAUAGCAUACGUAUAUCUUAUAAAGGAUACGUAUACCUCCUUGCGAGCUUUUCGCAAGGAGGUUUUUUUG